UAGAAAGCAAUGUAUCCUUAAUGCAAAGCCAUUCACUUGAUCCAUGAUCAAGAUGAAUUAGAUUUGAAUCAAGGAAGAUUAAACCUCCCUAAUCAAUGCUAACCACCAAUCUUUAACUCAUUGAUCGAAAAAAGAAAAAGAAGAAGGAGAAGAAGAAGAAAGAAAUGAAGAAAUAAAGUGCAUUAAAUGAAAUGGUAUGUAUCAAUCAACAAGUGUUGACCAAAGAUAGAGGAGAUCAAGGUUAAACAAUAGAAAACAGAAGCAAAAUGAAUAUUAGAAGUCAAGAAUUAAACAAAAUAUUUUUGGCAUUUUUAAUAUUUAAAAUAAAACUUGAAUUAAAAUAUUAAA
rnacentral:lncRNA from 1 species